rnacentral:tRNA from 1 species
GGAGAGAUAGCUCAGUGGUUAAGGGUACUGGCUGCUCUAUCAGAAGACCUGGGUUCAAGUCCCAAUAUCUACA